GACUGAACAGGCUGCUUGGGAGACAGGAUGGAGAGCGCAGGGAGGCCAGAGAGAGGCACAGGGAAGAUGGCCUUCAGUCUCUGAGUCAGACAUCAAGAAAUAAAUGGUUCUGGAGAAAGCGCAGGAGUACUGGAAAGGCACGGACCUCAGCCUCCCUCACUGAGCAGGAGCAGCAGAUGAACAAGGUCGAUGAACUGACCCCUCAGCUCCAGAUGAUGACCAAUGAAAGGAAUGAACUUCGUGCGAUCCUGGCCAAUUAUACCAACAAUGACGUGAACAACAGGCUGAAUUCUGAGCUUGAGGAGCUGAAAAUGGGUCAUCAGAAGGAGAUGUCAGAGCUGGAGAAAUUCCCCAAGGAAAUUAGUGAGGCCUCUUCCAACUGCAAGGAGCUGACUGAUACCAA